ensembl:snRNA LOC120096852 U2 spliceosomal RNA
AUCGCUUCUCGGCCUUUUGGCUAAGAUCAAGUGUAAGAUGAUCAAGAUGUUAUUUCAUUCUAUAUAUAUACAUAUAUGGGCGUAUAUAUUAUUACUGUCAUUAUGGUAUGACAAGUUUAU